rnacentral:rRNA from 1 species
CCAGCGGAGGGAUCAUUACCGAGUUUACAACUCCCAAACCCAAUGUGAACGUUACCAAACUGUUGCCUCGGCGGGAUCUCUGCCCCGGGUGCGUCGCAGCCCCGGACCAAGGCGCCCGCCGGAGGACCAACCAAAACUCUUAUUGUAUACCCCCUCGCGGGUUUUUUUAUAAUCUGAGCCUUCUCGGCGCCUCUCGUAGGCGUUUCGAAAAUGAAUCAAAACUUUCAACAACGGAUCUCUUGGUUCUGGCAUCGAUGAAGAACGCAGCGAAAUGCGAUAAGUAAUGUGAAUUGCAGAAUUCAGUGAAUCAUCGAAUCUUUGAACGCACAUUGCGCCCGCCAGUAUUCUGGCGGGCAUGCCUGUCCGAGCGUCAUUUCAACCCUCGAACCCCUCCGGGGGGUCGGCGUUGGGGAUCGGCCCUGCCUUGGCGGUGGCCGUCUCCGAAAUACAGUGGCGGUCUCGCCGCAGCCUCUCCUGCGCAGUAGUUUGCACACUCGCAUCGGGAGCGCGGCGCGUCCACAGCCGUUAAACACCCAACUUCUGAAAUGUGACCUCGGAUGCAGUAGGAUCCCCCGG